UUCUACGGCCAUACCACUCUGAACAUGUCCGAUCUCGUCUGAUUUGGGAAGCCAAGCAGGGUUGGGUUGAUGGGAGAAAUGUGCCGCUUUGGUUCCGUGGCAC
ensembl:rRNA 5S_rRNA 5S ribosomal RNA